UGCUUAACACAUGCAAGUCGAGCGAGAAAGUUCCUUCGGGAAUGAGUACAGCGGCGGACGGGUGAGUAACGCGUGAGAAUCUGCCCUUUAGUGAAGAAUACCUUCGAGAAAUCGAAGUUAAUGCUGCAUACGUCCCUUCGGGGAGAAAGAUGGCCUCUUGCUGUCGCUAAAGGAUGAGCUUGCGUACUAUUAGCUUGUUGGUGGGGUAAAGGCCUACCAAGGCGAUGAUGGUUAGCCGACCUGAGAGGGUGAUCGGCCACACUGGAACUUAGACACGGUCCAGACUCCUACGGGAGGCAGCAGUGAGGAAUAUUGCGCAAUGGGCGAAAGCCUGACGCAGCCACGCCGCGUGAAGGAUGACGGUCUUCGGAUUGUAAACUUC
rnacentral:rRNA from 1 species